rnacentral:rRNA from 1 species
AUUGAACGCUGGCGGAAUGCUUUACACAUGCAAGUCGAGCGGCAGCGCGGGGCAACCUGGCGGCGAGCGGCGAACGGGUGAGUAAUACAUCGGAACGUGCCCAGACGUGGGGGAUAACUACUCGAAAGAGUGGCUAAUACCGCAUACGAUCUACGGAUGAAAGCGGGGGAUCGCAAGACCUCGCGCGUCUGGAGCGGCUGAUUGCAGAUUAGGUAGUUGGUGGGAUAAAAGCCUACCAAGCCAACGAUCUGUAGCUGGUCUGAGAGGAUGAUCAGCCACACUGGGACUGAGACACGGCCCAGACUCCUACGGGAGGCAGCAGUGGGGAAUUUUGGACAAUGGGCGAAAGCCUGAUCCAGCCAUUCCGCGUGCAGGAUGAAGGCCCUCGGGUUGUAAACUGCUUUUGUACAGAACGAAAAAGCUCUGGCUAAUACCUGGAGUCCAUGACGGUACUGUAAGAAUAAGCACCGGCUAACUACGUG